AAGAAAUCCGCCCCUGAAAACAUCCAAUCACUAUAACUCAAAGUUGCUAGCUACAUAUAAACAUCAUCAACAUCGAUACACUUAAUCAAUGAGGUUUACAGUGAAAAGUGAAAGAGGAUUUAAGGAUGAAAACCUCGAAGAUCGAGUUCACGUUCGCAAAGAGCGUUGACGAAAUGAGGGCUUUUCCAUAUCAAAUCGGCUGUAAUUAUUGAAGGAACUUGGGAGCUUGCCGUCUGAUGCUGC